rnacentral:rRNA from 1 species
AUUUGAAAUCUGGCGUCUUCGGCGUCCGAGUUGUAAUUUGCAGAGGGCGCUUUGGCAUUGGCAGCGGUCCAAGUUCCUUGGAACAGGACGUCACAGAGGGUGAGAAUCCCGUACGUGGUCGCUAGCCUUUACCGUGUAAAGCCCCUUCGACGAGUCGAGUUGUUUGGGAAUGCAGCUCUAAAUGGGAGGUAAAUUUCUUCUAAAGCUAAAUACUGGCCAGAGACCGAUAGCGCACAAGUAGAGUGAUCGAAAGAUGAAAAGCACUUUGGAAAGAGAGUUAAAAAGCACGUGAAAUUGUUGAAAGGGAAGCGCUUGCAGCCAGACUUGCCUGUAGUUGCUCAUCCGGGUUUUUACCCGGUGCACUCUUCUAUAGGCAGGCCAGCAUCAGUUUGGGCGGUUGGAUAAAGGUCUCUGUCAUGUACCUCUCUUCGGGGAGAACUUAUAGGGGAGACGACAUGCAACCAGCCUGGACUGAGGUCCGCGCAUCUGCUAGGAUGCUGGCGUAAUGGCUGUAAGCGGCCCGUCUUGAAACACGGACCAAGGAGUCUAACAUCUAUGCGAGUGUUUGGGUGUCAAGCCCGAGCGCGUAAUGAAAGUGAACGGAGGUGGGAACCUUUCGGGGUGCACCAUCGACCGAUCCUGAUGUCUUCGGAUGGAUUUGAGUAAGAGCAUAGCUGUUGGGACCCGAAAGAUGGUGAACUAUGCUUGAAUAGGGUGAAGCCAGAGGAAACUCUGGUGGAGGCUCGCAGCGGUUCUGACGUGCAAAUCGAUCGUCAAAUUUGGGCAUAGGGGCGAAAGACUAAUCGAA